GUUGGCACGGCUCGUUCACAGGGAGCCGGAGACGGUUCAAUCUCCAGCAUUCGCUGAACUCUACCAUAUUACAAUCGCUGCCUCCUAAGAAAAUCAGUAUCGGUAGCGAAAUGAUUUUGGGGUAAUUGAUGCAGAAUCAUUCAGUUGACAUGGAUUUAUAAAGCAAAAUCAAGUUAGACUUCUUCUUGGACUUAAGAAUAGAUUAAUAUUGUUAAACAGAGGAGCAAAUCUAUUCAAAUGGUAAAAGCAAAUAUUGCAGAUG